UACGUAGGGUGCGAGCGUUGUCCGGAAUUAUUGGGCGUAAAGGGCUCGUAGGCGGUCUGUCGCGUCGGGGGUGAAAACUCAGGGCUUAACCCUGAGCCUGCUUCCGAUACGGGCAGACUAGAGGUAUGCAGGGGAGAACGGAAUUCCUGGUGUAGCGGUGGAAUGCGCAGAUAUCAGGAGGAACACCGGUGGCGAAGGCGGCGAUCUGGGUCGAUACUGACGCUGAGGUGCGAAAGCGUGGGGAGCAAACAGG
rnacentral:rRNA from 1 species